UUGGGAAUUGUACACAAUGGGCGCAAGCCUGAUGUCGCGACGCCGCGUGAAGGAUGAAGGCCUUCGGGUUGUAAACUUCUUUUAUCAGGGACGAUGAUGACGGUACCUGAUGAAUAAGCACCGGCUAACUACGUGCCAGCAGCCGCGGUAAUACGUAGGGUGCAAGCGUUAUCCGGAAUUAUUGGGCGUAAAGAAUGCGUAGGCGGUUUAGUAAGUUGUCCGUUAAAUUUUCAGGCUCAACCUGAUUCGCGCGGACAAUACUGCUGAACUAGUGAAUAGCAGGGGCAAGCGGAAUUCCCGGUGUAGGAGUGAAAUCCGUUGAUAUCGGGAGGAACACCAAUGGCGAAGGCAGCUUGCUAGGUUAUUUCAGACGCUGAGGCAUGAAAGCGUGGGGAGCGAACGGG
rnacentral:rRNA from 1 species